UCUGGAGUCCUGGUAAGAUUUUCCUAAAGAUGAUGCUGGAAAGAACACUUAAGUGAGUGCAGACUCCCUUUUCGUCUCUUUUUACUUCCAUUAUAACCUGGAGAUCUAGCAGGAGAAAAGGUAUGAAAUUUGUGUUGGUCAGACAAGAGUUACAAGUCAGUUAACGAAUAUAGCUAGGCCCUAUCUUCACCUCUCUUCUCUUUUCUUCCAUGCAGGGAGUGAAGAUCUCGGAAGAGACAGAAAUAGCAGAAUUGAAGUUACCGGGCUGGCUUCUUACCUCUUUUACUGGAACCUAGCAUUCCGGGAAGAGGUUAAUGAAGGUGACUCAUGGAAUUCAGAGAAGAGACCCAUGGAAUAUUAUGGAAGCUAUCGGCCUCACCUCUUUCCUUCUCUCCUCUUCCCUUUGGAGGUUGGGGAUCAGGUUGGAGCCAGGCAAAGGACAGGAGAAAAUAGCCACUUCUCAUUGUGGACCAUGAGGCUGGAGACUUGGCAGGACAUUCAUGGAGAUGAGGAUUUGAAGCACCAGGCUUGAUAGAAGGCACUCACCUCUUCUACUCUACCUUCCUUUGCAACAUGGACUCCUCCCUGGAGACCAAAUAGGAAACUUAUUUUAACAGACCAUAGAUACCAAAGAAUCGGUAUACAGGCUCACCUAUCCAUCCUCUUUGUUCCCAAGCUCAAGGUGAAGAUCAGUGAAAAAAUCAAUGGGGCACAGUGGACGGUACCACAUGGUCUUCUACCCACUUUUCCUAGAGAAUGAAGUCCAAGCAGGAUUUUCAUGAUGAUCAGGCAGGAGACUGAUGACAAUCAAAAAAGAGUUCUCUCCUCCUCUUGUUAACAGGCUGUAUAACAGAAGCAAAGCAUGAGAGAAAGCAAUUUCUUCUGGGAGAGCCUUGGCAGGAAGUUCAUGGAGAUGCCAAUGCAGAAGAAAAGGGAAUGAAGAUAUCUGCCUCACCUCUUUGCUUCUCAGCUCUUCCCAUUGGAGGUUGGGGAUCAGAAAAGAGCCAGGCAAAGCACAAGAGAAAGCAAUCACAUCUCUUUCAUAGUUGGCUGAAAAUUCACAGAGAUGACCAUGGGGAAGCAAAGGGAAUGAUGGAAUGUACCUCUCUUUUCUCUUGUCCAACCAUUACAAAAUGAAGACCGUUUAGGACAGAAGACUAGAAAUUUCUGUUGACCUGAAUGGACAUACAAGGGAAUGAUGAAAAGUACCUACCUCGCCAUUAUUUUUCUUCUGUGUUUUCUUCUUUGGAAGAGGUGAAGACCUGGGAAGAGAUACAUGAGGCAGAAUUGAAGGCACUCGACUUGCUUCUUCUCAUUUUCCCUGAAGGCUAGAAUCCUACUAUGAAUGUCAUAAAGAUCAGUCAGGAGACUUUUGGAAUAUGAUGGAAGGUACAUAUCUCUCAUCCUUCCUGCUCUCCUCUUCCCUUUGGAGGGUGGAGAUCAGGUAGGAGAUAGGUAAACUAUAAUACAAAGCAACUACCUCUCCUUGAGGAACCAGAUCUUGAAGACUUGGCAGGAGAUUCAUGAAGAAGAGUACGUGAAGCGAAGAACAUGAUGGAAUUCAUACACCAUUCUCUUCUCAGUCCCCUUGGAACUGUGAGACCUAGCAGGAGACCAGGUAGGUAUCUUGGAUUGAACAGUCCCAUCUUAGGAGGGAAUGAGGAGGAAACAGGAUCACCUUUGCAUUUCUCUUAUCUUGCCAUCCAUACAGAAUUUAGGGUGGAGGGAGGAUCCAGAUGAAUCCCAAUGCAAGGCCACUGACUCUCUUUAUCCCUCUUUUCCUCAAGAUCAGAGUACUUGCAGGAGACUAGAAUCUGGAGUCCUGGUAAGAUUUUCCUAAAGAUGAUGCUGGAAAGAACACUUAAGUGAGUGCAGACUCCCUUUUCGUCUCUUUUUACUUCCAUUAUAACCUGGAGAUCUAGCAGGAGAAAAGGGAGUGAAGAUCUGGGAAGAGACAGAAAUAGCAGAAUUGAAGUUACCGGCCUGGCUUCUUACCUCUUUUACUGGAACCUAGCGUUCCGGGAAGAGGUUAAUGAAGGUGACUCAUGGAAUUCAGAGAAGAGACCCAUGGAAUAUUAUGGAAGCUAUCGGCCUCACCUCUUUCCUUCUCUCCUCUUCCCUUUGGAGGUUGGGGAUCAGGUUGGAGCCAGGCAAAGGACAGGAGAAAAUAGCCACUUCUCAUUGUGGAAUAUGAGGCUGGAGACUUGGCAGGACAUUCAUGGAGAUGAGGAUUUGAAGCACCAGGCUUGAUAGAAGGCACUCACCUCUUCUACUCUACCUUCCUUUGCAACAUGGACUCCUCCCUGGAGACCAAAUAGGAAACCUUUUUUAACAGACUGUAGACACAAAAGAAUCAGUAUACAGGCUCACCUAUCCAUCCUCUUUGUUCCCAAGCACAAUGUGAAGAUCAGUGAAAAAAUCAAUGGGGCACAGUGGACGGUACCACAUGGUCUUCUACCCACUUUUCCUAGAGAAUGAAGUCCAAGCAGGAGUUUCAUGAUGAUCAGGCAGGAGACUGAUGACAAUCAAAAAAGAGUUCUCUCCUCCUCUUGUUAACAGGCUGUAUAACAGAAGCAAAGCAUAAGAGAAAGCAAUUUCUUCUGGGAGAGCCUUGGCAGGAAGUUCAUUUGAGAUGCCAAUGCAGAAGCAAAGGGAAUGAAGAUACCUGCCUCACCUCUUUGCUUCUCAGCUCUUCCCUUUGGAGGUUGGGGAUCAGAAAAGAGCCAGGCAAAGCACAAGAGAAAACAAUCACAUCUCUUUCAUAGUUGGCUGAAAAUUCACAGAGCUGACCAUGGGGAAGCAAAGGGAAUGAUGGAAUGUACCUCUCUUUUCUCUUGUCCAAGCAUUAGAAAAUGAGGACGGUUUAGUCCAGAAGACUAGAAAUUUGUGUUGACCUGAAAGGACAUACAAGGGAAUGAGGAAAAGUACCUACCUUGCCAUUAUUUUUCUUCUGUGUUUUCUUCUUUGGAAGAGGUGAAGACCUGGGAAGAGAUACAUGAGGCAGAAUUGAAGGCACUCGACUUGCUUCUUCUCAUUUUCCCUGAAGGCUAGAAUCCUACUAUGAAUGUCAUAAAGAUCAGUCAGGAGACUUAUGGAAUAUGAUGGAAGGUACAUGUCUCUCAUCCUUCCUGCUCUCCUCUUCCCUUUGGAGGGUGGAGAUCAGGUAGGAGAUAGGUAAACUAUAAUACAAAGCAACUACCUCUCCUUGAGGAACCAGAUCUUGAAGACUUGGCAGGAGAUUCAAGAAGAAGAGCAUGUGAAGUGAAGAACAUGAUGGAAUUCAUACACCAUUCUCUUCUCAGUCCCCUUGGAACUGUGAGACCUAGCAGGAGACCAGGUAGGUAUCUUGGAUUGAACAGUCCCAUCUUAGGAGGGAAUGAGGAGGAAACAGGAUCACCUUUGCAUUUCUCUUAUCUUGCCAUCCAUACAGAAUUUAGGGUGGAGGGAGGAUCCAGAUGAAUCCCAAUGCAAGGCCACUGACUCUCUUUAUCCCUCUUUUCCUCAAGAUCAGAGUACUUGCAGGAGACUAGAGUCUGGAGUCCUGGUAAGAUUUUCCUAAAGAUGAUGCUGGAAAGAACACUUAAGUGAGUGCAGACUCCCUUUUCGUCUCUUUUUACUUCCAUUAUAACCUGGAGAUCUAGCAGGAGAAAAGGUAUGAAAUUUGUGUUGGUCAGACAAGAGUUACAAGUCAGUUAACGAAUAUAGCUAGGCCCUAUCUUCACCUCUCUUCUCUUUUCUUCCAUGCAGGGAGUGAAGAUCUGGGAAGAGACAGAAAUAGCAGAAUUGAAGUUACCGGGCUGGCUUCUUACCUCUUUUACUGGAACCUAGCAUUCCGGGAAGAGGUUAAUGAAGGUGACUCAUGGAAUUCAGAGAAGAGACCCAUGGAAUAUUAUGGAAGCUAUCGGCCUCACCUCUUUCCUUCUCUCCUCUUCCCUUUGGAGGUUGGGGAUCAGGUUGGAGCCAGGCAAAGGACAGGAGAAAAUAGCCACUUCUCAUUGUGGACCAUGAGGCUGGAGACUUGGCAGGACAUUCAUGGAGAUGAGGAUUUGAAGCACCAGGCUUGAUAGAAGGCACUCACCUCUUCUACUCUACCUUCCUUUGCAACAUGGACUCCUCCCUGGAGAUCAAAUAGGAAACUUCUUUUAACAGACAGUAGAUACCAAAGAAUCGGUAUACAGGCUCACCUAUCCAUCCUCUUUGUUCCCAAGCACAAUGUGAAGAUCAGUGAAAAAAUCAAUGGGGCACUGUGGACGGUACCACAUGGUCUUCUACCCACUUUUCCUAGAGAAUGAAGUCCAAGCAGGAGUUUCAUGAUGAUCAGGCAGGAGACUGAUGACAAUCAAAAAAGAGUUCUCUCCUCCUCUUGUUAACAGGUUGUAUAACAGAAGCAAAGCAUAAGAGAAAGCAAUUUCUUCUGGGAGAGCCUUGGCAGGAAGUUCAUGGAGAUGCCAAUGCAGAAGCAAAGGGAAUGAAGAUACCUGCCUCACCUCUUUGCUUCUCAGCUCUUCCCAUUGGAGGUUGGGGAUCAGAAAAGAGCCAGGCAAAGCACAAGAGAAAGCAAUCACAUCUCUUUCAUAGUUGGCUGAAAAUUCACAGAGAUGACCAUGGGGAAGCAAAGGGAAUGAUGGAAUGUACCUCUCUUUUCUCUUGUCCAACCAUUACAAAAUGAAGACCAUUUAGGACAGAAGACUAGAAAUUUCUGUUGACCUGAACAGACAUACAAGGGAAUGAUGAAAAGUACCUACCUCGCCAUUAUUUUUCUUCUGUGUUUUCUUCUUUGGAAGAGGUGAAGACCUGGGAAGAGAUACAUGAGGCAGAAUUGAAGGCACUCGACUUGCUUCUUCUCAUUUUCCCUGAAGGCUAGAAUCCUACUAUGAAUGUCAUAAAGAUCAGUCAGGAGACUUUUGGAAUAUGAUGGAAGGUACAUAUCUCUCAUCCUUCCUGCUCUCCUCUUCCCUUUGGAGGGUGGAGAUCAGGUAGGAGAUAGGUAAACUAUAAUACAAACCAACUGCCUCUCCUUGAGGAACCAGAUCUUGAAGACUUGGCAGGAGAUUCAUGAAGAAGAGCAUGUGAAGCAAAGAACAUAAUGGAAUUCAUACACCAUUCUCUUCUCAGUCCCCUUGGAACUGUGAGACCUAGCAGGAGACCAGGUAGGUAUCUUGGAUUGGACAGUCCCAUGUUAGGAGGGAAUGAGGAGGAAACCCGAUCACGUCUGCAUUUCUCUUACCUUGCCAUCCAUACAGAAUUUAGGGUGGAGGGAGGAUCCAGAUGAAUCCCAAUGCAAGGCCACUGACUCACUUUAUCCCUCUUUUCCUCAAGAUCAGAGUACUUGCAGGAGACUAGAGUCUGGAGUCCUGGUAAGAUUUUCCUAAAGAUGAUGCUGGAAAGAACACUUAAGUGAGUGCAGACUCCCUUUUCGUCUCUUUUUACUUCCAUUAUAACCUGGAGAUCUAGCAGGAGAAAAGGGAGUGAAGAUCUGGGAAGAGACAGAAAUAGCAGAAUUGAAGUUACCGGGCUGGCUUCUUACCUCUUUUACUGGAACCUAGCAUUCCGGGAAGAGGUUAAUGAAGGUGACUCAUGGAAUUCAGAGAAGAGACCCAUGGAAUAUUAUGGAAGCUAUCGGCCUCACCUCUUUCCUUCUCUCCUCUUCCCUUUGGAGGUUGGGGAUCAGGUUGGAGCCAGGCAAAGGACAGGAGAAAAUAGCCACUUCUCAUUGUGGACCAUGAGGCUGGAGACUUGGCAGGACAUUCAUGGAGAUGAGGAUUUGAAGCACCAGGCUUGAUAGAAGGCACUCACCU